rnacentral:rRNA from 1 species
UUGCGGUUAAAAAGCUCGUAGUUGGAUUUCUGUUGAGAAUGUCCAGUCCGCACAUUGUGCGAGUAUUUGGUACAGUCUUGGCAUCCUCCUGGGGAGCGUUGAUGUACUUGAUUGUAUGUUGCGUGAUUCAGGACUUUUACUUUGAGGAAAUUAGAGUGUUCACGGCAGGCGUUUGCCUUGAAUAUGUUAGCAUGGAAUAAUAAUAUAAGACCUCGGUUUUAUUUUGUUGGUUUCUAGAAGCGAGGUAAUGAUUAAUAGGGACAAUUGGGGGUAUUCGAAUUAACGCGUCAGAGGUGGAAUUCUUGGAUUGCGUUACGACGAACUACUGCGAAAGCAUUUACCAAGGAUGUUUUCAUUGAUCAAGAACGAAAGUCAGGGGAUCGAAGACGAUUAGAUACCGUCGUAGUCUUGACCAUAAACUAUGCCGACUAGAGAUUGGAGGUUCGCUCUUUUUACGGCUCCUUCAGCAUCUUAUGAGAAAUCAAAGUUUUUGGGUUCCGGGGGGAGUAUGGUCGCAAGGCUGAAACUUAAAGGAAUUGACGGAAGGGGCACCACCAGGAAGUGGAGCCCUGCGGCCUUAA